rnacentral:tRNA from 1 species
GCCGACAUAGCUCAACCUGGUAGAGUGCCCGCCUCCAAAGCGGGAUGUUGGGGGUUCGACUCCCUCUGUCGGUG